rnacentral:rRNA from 1 species
AAGGCUUGACAUGUAAGAAGUACGAACCUGAAAAGGUUAGGACCUGUCAAAUCAGGAACUUACAC